AGAGUUUGAUCCUGGCUCAGGAUAAACGCUGGCGGCGUGCCUAACACAUGCAAGUCGAACGCCCUUUCUCGAAAGAGGGAGGGAGUGGCGGACGGGUGAGUAACGCGUGGGUAGACCUACCCCGAAGUGAGGAAUACCACCGGGAAACCGGUGACAAAACCGCAUGAGCUUCGCGAGAAGGAAAGCUUCGAAAGAGGCGC
rnacentral:rRNA from 1 species